AGCCCAGCUUGCUGGGUGGAUUAGUGGCGAACGGGUGAGUAACACGUGAGUAACCUGCCCCUGACUCUGGGAUAAGCGUUGGAAACGACGUCUAAUACUGGAUAUGACUACUGGUCGCAUGGCCUGGUGGUGGAAAGAUUUUUUGGUUGGGGAUGGACUCGCGGCCUAUCAGCUUGUUGGUGAGGUAAUGGCUCACCAAGGCGACGACGGGUAGCCGGCCUGAGAGGGUGACCGGCCACACUGGGACUGAGACACGGCCCAGACUCCUACGGGAGGCAGCAGUGGGGAAUAUUGCACAAUGGGCGAAAGCCUGAUGCAGCAACGCCGCGUGAGGGAUGACGGCCUUCGGGUUGUAAACCUCUUUUAGUAGGGAAGAAGCGAAAGUGACGGUACCUGCAGAAAAAGCACCGGCUAACUACGUGCCAGCAGCCGCGGUAAUACGUAGGGUGCAAGCGUUGUCCGGAAUUAUUGGGCGUAAAGAGCUCGUAGGCGGUUUGUCGCGUCUGCUGUGAAAUCCCGAGGCUCAACCUCGGGCUUGCAGUGGGUACGGGCAGACUAGAGUGCGGUAGGGGAGAUUGGAAUUCCUGGUGUAGCGGUGGAAUGCGCAGAUAUCAGGAGGAACACCGAUGGCGAAGGCAGAUCUCUGGGCCGUAACUGACGCUGAGGAGCGAAAGCGUGGGGAGCGAACAGGAUUAGAUACCCUGGUAGUCCACGCCGUAAACGUUGGGCGCUAGAUGUAGGGACCUUUCCACGGUUUUCUGUGUCGUAGCUA
rnacentral:rRNA from 1 species